AACCUCCGCAAUGUGAGAAAUCGCGACGGGGGGAUCCCAAGUGCCAUUCUUAACGGGAUGGCUUUUCAUUAGUGUAAAGAGCUUUUGGAAUAAGAGCUGGGCAAGACCGGUGCCAGCCGCCGCGGUAACACCGGCAGCUCUAGUGGUAGCAAUUUUUAUUGGGCCUAAAGCGUCCGUAGCCGGUUUAAUAAGUCUCUGGUGAAAUCCUGUAGCUUAACUGUGGGAAUUGCUGGAGAUACUAUUAGACUUGAGACCGGGAGAGGUUAGAGGUACUCCCAGGGUAGAGGUGAAAUUCUGUAAUCCUGGGAGGACCGCCUGUUGCGAAGGCGUCUAACUGGAACGGUUCUGACGGUGAGGGACGAAAGUUAGGGCGCGAACCGGAUUAGAUACCCGGGUAGUCCUAACUGUAAACGAUGCGGACUUGGUGUUGGGGUGGCUUUGAGCUGCUCCAGUGCCGAAGGGAAGCUGUUAAGUCCGCCGCCUGGGAAGUACGGUCGCAAGCUAGAAACUUAAAGGAAUU
rnacentral:rRNA from 1 species